rnacentral:rRNA from 1 species
UAGUCCACGCUGUAAACGAUGUCUACUUGGAGGUUGUUGUCUUGAAUGAUGGCUUUCGGAGCUAACGCGUUAAGUAGACCGCCUGGGGAGUACGGCCGCAAGGUUAAAACUCAAAUGAAUUGACGGGGGCCCGCACAAGCGGUGGAGCAUGUGGUUUAAUUCGAUGCAACGCGAAGAACCUUACCUACUCUUGACAUCUAGAGAAGCUUGCAGAGAUGCGAGUGUGCCUUCGGGAACUCUAAGACAGGUGCUGCAUGGCUGUCGUCAGCUCGUGUUGUGAAAUGUUGGGUUAAGUCCCGCAACGAGCGCAACCCUUAUCCUUGUUUGCCAGCACGUAAUGGUGGGAACUCCAGGGAGACUGCCGGUGAUAAACCGGAGGAAGGUGGGGACGACGUCAAGUCAUCAUGGCUCUUACGUCCAGGGCUACACACGUGCUACAAUGGGGCAUACAAAGAGCAGCUAGCUGGCAACAGUGCGCGAACCUCAAAAAGUGACCUCUCUACG